GUAGGCUGAAACUCGCCUACAUGAAGCUGGAAUUGCUAGUAAUCACAGGUCAGCAUACUGUGGUGAAUACGUUCCCGGGCCUUGUACACACCGCCCGUCACACCAUGGGAGUUGAGAAUACCCGAAGCCCAUGUCAAAGUGGUCGAAGGUAGGCUUGAUGAUUGGGGUGAAGUCGUAACAAGGUAAC
rnacentral:rRNA from 1 species